GGCUCAGAACGAACGCUGGCGGCGCGUCUUAAGCAUGCAAGUCGAACGGCAAGAGGUAGCAAUACCUCCUAGAGUGGCGGACUGGUGAGUAACACGUGGGUGACAUACCCUUCAGAUGGGGAUAGCUAUUAGAAAUAGUAGAUAAUACCGAAUACGAGCACAGGGGUUAGAGAUCUGUGAGGAAAAGGAGCUAAGGCUCCGCUGAAGGAAUGGCCUGCGGCCCAUUAGCUAGUUGGUGAGGUAAGAGCCCCACCAAGGCGAUGAUGGGUAUCCGGCCUUAGAGGGUGAACGGACACAUUGGGACUGAGAUACGGCCCAGACUCCUACGGGAGGCAGCAGUGGGGAAUAUUGGGCAAUGGGCGCAAAGCCUGACCCAGCAACGCCGCGUGAAGGAAGAAGGCUUUCGGGUUGUAAACUUCUUUUAUGAGGGACGAAGAACGUGACGGUACCUCAUGAAUAAGCCACGGCUAACUACGUGCCAGCAGCCGC
rnacentral:rRNA from 1 species